rnacentral:lncRNA from 1 species
AGCAGGCUGUCACCUCUCACCAGGUUGGCAGAAAAAGAAAACAUUAGCAGCCAAAUUAGCCAGUCUGCCUGUGGAAUGAAGGCUCCAGUUUUUGACCUCUAAUGAAAGAAGAAAGACUACUCAUUGAGUUGACCUUGAACAACACAGGUUUCAGCUGCUUGGGGCCAUUUAGGCAUGGAUUUUCUUCUGCCUCUGCUACCUGGAGACAGCAAGACCAACCCCUUCUGCCCUCCUCCUCCUUAGCCUAGCCAAUGUGAAGAUGACAAGAAUGAAGACGUUUAUGAUGAUCCACUUCCACUUGAUGAACAGUUAUAUCAUUUAUCCAACCAACAUUCAUUCAUUCAUCAGAAAAUGUAUUGAGUACUGUCUUCUUGGGAACACAAGAGGGCAUUUAAUGCAUUGAUGGGAAAAUACCACAAUGAGAUAGUAAUAGCAAGAAGGAAAAAAAAUCACACACUUUUAUAGAGGAUAAUAAGAUCCUACAUGUGGAG